AUUGAACGCUGGCGGCAGGCCUAACACAUGCCAGUCGAGCGGAUGAAGGGAGCUUGCUCCUGGAUUCAGCGGCGGACGGGUGAGUAAUGCCUAGGAAUCUGCCUGGUAGUGGGGGAUAACGUCCGGAAACGGGCGCUAAUACCGCAUACGUCCUGAGGGAGAAAGUGGGGGAUCUUCGGACCUCACGCUAUCAGAUGAGCCUAGGUCGGAUUAGCUAGUUGGUGGGGUAAAGGCCUACCAAGGCGACGAUCCGUAACUGGUCUGUGAGGAUGAUCAGUCACACUGGAACUGAGACACGGUCCAGACUCCUACGGGAGGCAGCAGUGGGGAAUAUUGGACAAUGGGCGAAAGCCUGAUCCAGCCAUGCCGCGUGUGUGAAGAAGGUCUUCGGAUUGUAAAGCACUUUAAGUUGGGAGGAAGGGCAGUAAGUUAAUACCUUGCUGUUUUGACGUUACCAACAGAAUAAGCACCGGCUAACUUCGUG
rnacentral:rRNA from 1 species